rnacentral:piRNA from 1 species
UUCAUCACUUCCUUCUCCACC